UACGGAGGGUGCAAGCGUUGUCCGGAUUUAUUGGGUUUAAAGGGUGCGUAGGUGGCGUGUUAAGUCCGGGGUGAAAGCCCACAGCUCAACUGUGGAACUGCCCUGGAUACUGGCGAGCUUGAGUCCAGACGAGGUUGGCGGAAUGGAAGCUGUAGCGGUGAAAUGCAUAGAUAGCUUCCAGAACCCCGAUUGCGUAGGCAGCUGACUAGGCUGGUACUGACACUGAGGCACGAAAGCAUGGGGAGCGAACAGG
rnacentral:rRNA from 1 species